rnacentral:misc_RNA from 1 species
UCCCUAUUACUAGAGCAGUCUGAAUAGAAAAAUACAACUAUUCACAAGGGUUGCGCUCGUUGAUGGACUUAACCAAACAUCUCACGACACGAGCUGACGACGGCCAUGCAACACCUGUCACAGAGUUCCAAAAGGCACACGCUACUUUCGUAGUGCUUCCCUGGAUGUCAAACCCUGGUAAGGUUCUUCGGUUAUCAUCGAAUUAAAGAACAUAAUCCACCGCUUGUGCUGAUCCCCGUCAAUUCCUUUAUGUUUUAGUCUUGCGACCGUACUCCACAGGCGGGAUGCUUAACGCGUUAGCUUCGCUACUGAAGGGGUCGAUACCUCCAACAGCUAGCAUCCAUAGUUUACGGCGUGGACUAC